GAUCUAUUAAUCAGGAAUGAAAUUUUAUUUGGGAUUCAGUGUUAGACAAACAACAAAAUGAUGCGUGGCAGAAGUCAUCUUUUUAUUCUGGCUGGUCCAGGGAACAAGAAAACUGCUGCUGGACCAGCAAGGGAAGAGUUUCUGUCUGUCUUAACAGAAAUCUGUCCCCAAGACAAAGGGGUACUUGACUCCUACAAAACUUAAAGGGUACAUUCUCUAUCUGAUGAGGAGGUACUCAUUAUGGCCUUCUGGAAAGAGGCUAUGUUAGUGAUCUGGUCUUUACAGAUUUAGAGUCAUGUUAUUUGAAAGCUAGAAUAGACAACCUAUAAAAUGCUUACCAACAUGUGUCAGUACACGUUUAUGUUUAUAUGAAAAAAAAUUUCUAGCCACAGUGUCUUAUGAUUUUGUAUUGAAGCAAACAGUAGGAAUUUUGGAAAAAUAGAGAGUAAGAAUGUGUGUUCUAUGGAACACUGCUCCACUGAGAAGGUCCAUGUAAAAAGGAUUAGGUGGUCAUAUAAGUUUGGGGAACAUAAGCUCACUUGUCCUUUCCUGGAGAUUCAUGGUAUAUAAUAUUCAAAGCUCUGAGAAAUUCUGAAGUUAAAAACAAUUGUUAAAUUCUGCUUAAAUUAGUGUUUUCCUGAUAUUUGUUUUUUGAACACCUUUUAUAUAAUCCCUUCUAAUAUAUACUUAGUAUAUACUUAAUAUAAUAUUGGGAAAAUUGUUACUCCAAAGCACAUCUUGACAUGACAUAGUUUCUUAAAAAUCCAAAUUUUCUGGAACUCAGAAAUUUCCUAAUAUUUAGCACACUGUCUUCUUUUGCACAGCACUUUUUGCUUUGUGCCAUAUAGCAUUACUCUGUAC
rnacentral:lncRNA from 10 species